rnacentral:rRNA from 1 species
GAUGAACGCUGGCGGCGUGCCUAAUACAUGCAAGUCGAGCGAACGGACGAGAAGCUUGCUUCUCUGAUGUUAGCGGCGGACGGGUGAGUAACACGUGGAUAACCUACCUAUAAGACUGGGAUAACUUCGGGAAACCGGAGCUAAUACCGGAUAAUAUUUUGAACCGCAUGGUUCAAAAGUGAAAGACGGUCUUGCUGUCACUUAUAGAUGGAUCCGCGCUGCAUUAGCUAGUUGGUAAGGUAACGGCUUACCAAGGCAACGAUGCAUAGCCGACCUGAGAGGGUGGUCGGCCACACUGGAAGUGAGACACGGUCCAGACUCCUAAGGGAGGCAGCAGUAGGGAAUCUUACGCAAUGGGCGAAAGCCUGACGGAGCAACGCCGCGUGAGUGAUGAAGGUCUUCGGAUCGUAAAACUCUGUUAUUAGGGAAGAACAUAUGUGUAAGUAACUGUGCACAUCUUGACGGUACCUAAUCAGAAAGCCACGGCUAACUACGUG